rnacentral:rRNA from 1 species
UACGUAGGUGGCAAGCGUUACUCGGAAUCACUAGGCGUAAAGCGCAGGUAGGCGGUUGGAUAAGUCUGUUGUGAAAGCUCCCGGCUUAACUGGGAGAGGUCAACGGAAACUAUCCGGCUAGAGUGUGGUAGAGGAAGAUGGAAUUCCCGGUGUAGCGGUGAAAUGCGUAGAUAUCUGGAGGAACACCGAUGGCGAAGGCAAUCCCCUGGACCUCUUACUGACGC